CAACUACUCCCUCUGUCCCAAAUUUCUUGUCUUAGAUUUGUCUAUAUACGGAUGUAUCUAAUACUAAAAUGUGACUUGAUACAUCCGUAUCUAGACAAAUCUAAGACAAGAAUUUUGGGACGGAGGGAGUACUUU
rfam:Triticum aestivum genome assembly, contig: Triticum_aestivum_CS42_TGACv1_scaffold_331282_4BS